rnacentral:lncRNA from 1 species
AUCCUGAAGGAAAGGUUCUCACCCGCCAUCUUGGGUCAAGUGUGCAACCAAGGCCAGCGAAAGCAUGAGUCAUCCUGGGGCAGAUUAUCAACCUGAGCCUGUCAGUGAUGCAAGGGUGGGGGUCAUUGCACUAAAGCUAGAACCCAGGGAAGGUCUGCUGACUCUUCCUCACAGACAGGAACUGGUAUACAUCUGUCAACAAAGGAGGUCAGAAGAGAACAGAAGUCAGAAGAGAGGACAAUUAAAAUAAGCCUCCUAUGCUGAAGUGUGCCCUAUGUCGAGUCCUGGCAAGAAACUGAAUUCCACAGGACUGGGCCCAGGCGCCUCCUACAGACUACACAUCUCCAUGUACUCAGUCUGCAUAGGAGCCAUCAUCUACGAGCCAAAAGGAGUGAGUCAGCCCCCAAGAACAGGGUACUACAGAACACUGGACAGCUACCUGCCAUGGCUGGCUCUUUACCACAUCCAUCCAGCUCUGGACACACCCCCCCGAGACAGAGAUCUGUGGUGGUGGGGACUUCCAGAAUGAUGCUGUCCUCCCCUACCCCACCCUGGAUAUAUGCUACUUUUGAACCAUGAGCUGUGACCAUAUGGCCUUAGGAAAGCUGAAGGAUCAGCCUGGGAACUUGUCUCUUCAUUUAGUCCCUAAUAAGACAAUAAAUGUUUUUAAAGGCUUUCCA